CCUGCUCCUGCUCCUGCUCUGGCUUCUACCUCUUCUUGAUCUUUUCCAUUCAUUUCUAGGAGAGCUGUGACGAUUCUGCUGCCUCCAUUCAUCAAGACCAGGAGACAUUCUUGUCCCAUAAUUCUCAUCUCCAUCCCAUGUGGGCAUUGGUUUUAAACUUUUGUUAGGGUCUUCAUCAAUGCUAUCAUCCCUACGUGAGCCUCUUCUUCCAGGCAAAGGUUCACGAACAGACCAUUUGGCGCGAUUACCACUAGCUCCUUCAGGAGAAUGCCAGCCAUGCUGUGAUUCUCUUUCAUGAAAAGACAAGCUUGCUUCCCCUGGCCAUGCAUUGUCAUGUACACUAUCAAAUGGGAUACGAGAUUCUUCUUUCAAAUCCCACUUAGAACCACGUCUUCUGCCACUUCUGCUCAUUUUGCCAAAAGCAGCGUCAAUUUCUGUCAUUCAAAAAGAGUGCAACCUGAUAAGUUGAGGACGGUUGCUGCAGUUUACUUGACAAUUAAUUGUGGCAAAUGCCACUGCUACUUACCCACUUCAUUCUCUCGGAUUAAGAUGCCCUCCAUUUUAAUGGCUUUAGAUGAAGUACGUGGAACCUGCAACAGAAACGGCGUUGGCCUGGCGGAGCAGACAAGCAAUCGGCGAUAUGGUGACGGCGGAGUUAAGAGAUCCGCGGUGGUCUGUUCUAGCUGUCGAAGCAGAAGUAUUCAGAGGCCAGGUCGACAAAAUAUUGAGAGGGAAGAAAAUU
rnacentral:misc_RNA from 1 species